CAGUAGCCGCGGUAAUACAGAGGGUGCGAGCGUUAAUUGGAUUUACUGGGCGUAAAGCGUGCGUAGGCGGCUUCUUAAGUCGGAUGUGAAAUCCCUGAGCUUAACUUAGGAAUUGCAUUCGAUACUGGGAAGCUAGAGUAUGGGAGAGGAUGGUAGAAUUCCAGGUGUAGCGGUGAAAUGCGUAGAGAUCUGGAGGAAUACCGAUGGCGAAGGCAGCCAUCUGGCCUAAUACUGACGCUGAGGUACGAAAGCAUGGGGAGCAAACAGGAUUAGAUACCCCGGUAGUCCCUGUCUCUUAUAA
rnacentral:rRNA from 1 species